AUCUAUACCUAUUUCAGAUAAGUUUCAGGCUGGGCUGGUCCCAGUUAUUGCUGAGGGAAGAGAUUGCUCCUUAGGCCUUCUUUGUGAGUGUUGGAAGAAAUACCCAGUUCCAGUUCCAAGCUGGGAGAAAGGCACUGGAAAUAAAAUGCAGGCUGGAGGCUGA